UACGAAGGUCCCAAGCGUUAUCCGGAUUUAUUGGGUUUAAAGGGUGCGUAGGCGGGUUAUUAAGUCAGUGGUGAAAGCUCCAUGCCUAACAUGGAAAUUGCCAUUGAUACUGAUGACCUUGAGUACAUUUGAAGUGGGCGGAAUGUGUCAUGUAGCGGUGAAAUGCUUAGAUAUGACACAGAACACCGAUUGCGAAGGCAGCUCGCUAAACUGUAACUGACGCUGAGGCACGAAAGCGCGGGGAGCAAAC
rnacentral:rRNA from 1 species